rnacentral:rRNA from 1 species
CACGUAGGGACCAAGCGUUGUCCGGAUUUAUUGGGCGUAAAGAGCUCGUAGGCGGUUCAGUAAGUCGGGUGUGAAAACUUUGGGCUUAACCCAAAGCGUGCAUCCGAUACUGCUGUGACUUGAGUUCGGUAGGGGAGUGGGGAAUUCCUAGUGUAGCGGUGAAAUGCGCAGAUAUUAGGAGGAACACCGGUGGCGAAGGCGCCACUCUGGGCCGAAACUGACGCUGAGGAGCGAAAGCAUGGGUAGCAAACAGG